CUCGUAGGUGGCCAACUAAGUCAGACGUGAAAUCCCCAGGCUCAACUUGGGAACUGCGUCUGAUACUGGAUGGCUUGAAUUCGGGAGAGGGAUGCAGAAUUCCAGGUGUAGCGGUGAAAUGCGUAGAUAUCUGGAGGAAUACCGGUGGCGAAGGCGGCAUCCUGGACCGAGAUUGACACUGAAAAGCGAAAGCCAGGGGAGCAAACG
rnacentral:rRNA from 1 species